rnacentral:snRNA from 1 species
AAAACAUUUGGCUGCGACAUCUGUCACCCCAUUGAUCGCCAGGGUUGAUUCAGCUGAUCUGGCUGGCUAGGCGGGUGUCCCCUUCCUCCCUCACUGCUCCAUGUGCGUCCCUCCCGAAGCUGAGUGCUCGGUUGAAGAGGAUGACCUUCCCCGAUAGAAGGAAGACCGUCCUUCGGUCAAGGGUAUACGAGUAGCUGAGCUCCCCUGCUAGAACCUCCAAACAAGUCUCAAGUGCCAAAUUUUUUAAAACCCCGUUGAGAAAGCAUUAUUGGACCAAUGUAGGCUAACUCCAUGUCGAAGUACCU